UACACUUCACUACACUAAGAUGGGUUAUGUUGUAGUUUAGUACAUUAUGACUAAGGUUAUUACACUUCACCACACUAAGAUGGGUUAUGUUGUAGUUUAGUACAUUAAAAGGAAACAUGACUAAGGUUAUCACACUUCACUACACUAAGAUGGGUUAUGUUGUAGUUUAGUACAUUAAAAGGGAACAUGACUAAGGUUAUUACACUUCACUACACUAAGAUGGGUUAUGUUGUAGUUUAGUACAUUAAAAGGAACAUGACUAAGGUUAUUACACUUCACUACACUAAGAUGGGUUAUGUUGUAGUUUAGUACAUUAAAAGGGAACAUGACUAAGGUUAUUACACUUCACUACACUAAGAUGGGUUAUGUUGUAGUUUAGUACAUUAAAAGGGAACAUGACUAAGGUUAUUACACUUCACUACACUAAGAUGGGUUAUGUUGUAGUUUAGUACAUUAAAA